rnacentral:rRNA from 1 species
CUACGGGUUGCAGCAGUGAGGAAUAUUGCACAAUGGGGGAAACCCUGAUGCAGCAACGCCGCGUGGAGGAUGACGCAUUUCGGUGUGUAAACUCCUUUUAUAUGUCAAGAAAAUGACGGUAGCAUAUGAAUAAGCACCGGCUAACUCCGUGCCAGCAGCCGCGGUAAUACGGAGGGUGCAAGCGUUAUUCGGAAUCACUGGGCGUAAAGGACGCGUAGGCGGGUUUGCAAGUCAGGUGUGAAAUCCUAUGGCUCAACCAUAGAACUGCACUUGAAACUGCGAACCUAGAGUAUGGAAGGGGCAGAUGGAAUUAGUGGUGUAGGGGUAAAAUCCGUAGAUAUCACUAGGAAUACCAAAAGCGAAGGCGAUCUGCUGGGACAUUACUGACGCUAAGGCGUGAAAGCGUGGGGAGCAAACAGGAUUAGAUACCCCCGUAGUC